rnacentral:rRNA from 1 species
CGGACGGGUGAGUAAUGUAUGGGGAUCUGCCUGAUGGCGGGGGAUAACUACUGGAAACGGUAGCUAAUACCGCAUAGUGUCUACGGACCAAAGCGGGGGACCUCCGGGCCUCGCGCCAUCAGAUGAACCCAUAUGGGAUUAGCUUGUAGGUAAGGUAACGGCUUACCUAGGCGACGAUCCCUAGCUGGUCUGAGAGGAUGAUCAGCCACACUGGGACUGAGACACGGCCCAG